UACGGAGGGUGCAAGCGUUAUCCGGAUUCACUGGGUUUAAAGGGUGCGUAGGUGGGGUAGUAAGUCAGUGGUGAAAUCUCCGUGCUUAACAUGGAAACUGCCAUUGAUACUACUAGUCUUGAAUCUUCCGGAGGUCAGCGGAAUAUGUCAUGUAGCGGUGAAAUGCUUAGAUAUGACAUAGAACACCAAUUGCGAAGGCAGCUGACUACAGGGGCAUUGACACUGAGGCACGAAAGCGUGGGGAUCAAACGGG
rnacentral:rRNA from 1 species